GUGCAGGGAGAGGAGAGGGAUCCGUCCUCUGAGUCACCAUCUGGUUUCAGGGGGAGUCUCGGUCUGACUUCAGGCGGAGCAACAAGCAUCUGAAGAGUAAUCAGCUGGACUGGAAACGUCAUCAGAGCCCGAAUUCUUCUUUGUGUGGGCUCAGAGGGUUUGAAUCCAGGAGGCUGGCACGCGACCUGAACACGUCUCAACCGAUCCGAGUGGCGCUCCAGUGCAAAGCUCCGCCUACAGGGAAUAAAGCCUGGAUACUUAUGUGAGCGUACUGGGCGGAGUCGGUGGCAGCCAUAAGCGCCUCCCCCUCUGUUGAGUGACAGUCUGUCAGGGGAUUUACCGCUGGCUGGUUCAGUCUCUGGACUGGUAGAACAGGAUGUAUCCUGACUCAGAGUUCUUGGAAAUGUCCGACGUCAGGCCGUAGAACUCCUCGAUCGCCUGCGCGUCGAUUUUCUACAAGAAAAGAAGAUAAAAGGCGGGAUUAGACGUGCGGCGUUCUCCUCCAGCUCUGCAGGAAAACAGCUCGCUCGUGACAAUUUGAUGACAGCUGUGCUUCAGCGAACACUUCAUCAUUCUCGGCGCUUUCCAAAGACGUCUUUCGCCUCCCAUCCAAGAGGCUUCUGCAGUCCUGAGAUCCCUCCCCAGGCAGCUUGACACCCGUUCCCACUGUGACUCAUGUGACACCAGCGACUCACAAGGUGUGAACGACCC